UAUUUUUAUAAUUUUAGCUCUCCCGCUCCCAAUUUUAUUUUGCCGCUUCUCCCAAUUCAUUGCCCCAUUUUUAAACCCUAAUUUUGUUUAUGCGUGGCUGGGAAACCGAAAUCCACAAACGCAAAAAACAUAUUUUCUUUAACCUCUCCUGUCUGCCUCUCUUCGUCAAUAUAUCUAAUGGAUCACCUCAGGCCACUCAAUUCUUAUUGUCUCUCUCUCGCUCGAAAUAUCGCCUUCGUUCUGCCUCCGUAUAAUUUUGCGUUUUCCUGAAACAGACGUAGCCGAAAAGAUACAGAAGAAGUUUAAGAGAUGUGCAUUAACAAUCGAUUAAGGGGCAACGUCAAAUUUUGUAUCUUUCUGAAUUAUUGAUUCCUCUCAAACAUUAUUUUUAACGUGAAUAUUCCACCGAUCAGACAUUCAGCCCUUCCUUCAGGUAAAGAUGUCAUUAAAAAUACAAUCGAGAAUAUUUUUUUUCUCUUGUGGGGACAUAAAAUAUAGGCAUCUAAAUAAAGACUUUUAGGUCCCUGUCUCAGGCUUGGCAAUUGGAUGUAUAAGAAAAAUACAACAAACAAAGGUCGUUCCUCUUUCAAAAUUUUAUGAAAAUGCCCUUCUGUGCCGUAAGUUACAAAUAAAACUAACCUUUUAAUUCAAAUUGAUUUGAAUUUACUAAAUGGUUAAAGCUCAGUUUACAUCGUUUUCAUUUUCUAAUUUGGGAUUUAUCUUGGUCGAUUUAUGCUAAAUUUUGUGGUUUCUGAUGUUUGGUUCUGCUUAUUGAUCGAAUUUCUAGGGUUCUUGGAUUUUGAUUUGUAUUUAUUUGACUUCAUUGGAGAAACAAUGGGGUUUACUGUUGUAGGUUAUAGAGGAUCUGUUGUUUGUUGCAGGUUUGAUUUUUAUUUUCAGCAGCAAAAAUGGCUUGUAUGAAGUUGGGAUCCAAAGUAGAUGCAUUCCAGACACAAAGUUAAGCUUGAGUAAAAAAGAAAACGUAUACACCGUUAGAGGGCAUGAAACAGACAAGGAGCAACAGUAAGGUGAACAAACCAAAAUUGAUGGAGAAAUAGUUCUUAGUUUAUGUGUAAAGCCUUCAAUAUAUAUCUUUUGAUUACAAGUUAAUGUCUUAACUAUUUAAAUUGAAAACUUAUGUAUUGAUUUUUUAUUAUUAAUGUUAAUAUCAUUCUCUUUUUAA